rnacentral:rRNA from 1 species
ACGGGAGGCAGCAGUGAGGAAUAUUGGUCAAUGGAGGCAACUCUGAACCAGCCAUCUCGCGUGAAGGAAUACGGCCCUACGGGUCUUAAACUUCUUUUAUAGGGGGAUAAAGUGAGCCACGUGUGGCUUUUUGUAGGUACCCUAUGAAUAAGCAUCGGCUAACUCCGUGCCAGCAGCCGCGGUAAUACGGAGGAUGCGAGCGUUAUCCGGAUUUAUUGGGUUUAAAGGGUGCGUAGGCGGGAUGUUAAGUCAGCGGUGAAAGCGUGUAGCUCAACUAUACCAAGCCGUUGAAACUGGCGUUCUUGAGUGUAAACGAGGUAGGCGGAAUGUGACGUGUAGCGGUGAAAUGCUUAGAUAUGUCACAGAACCCCGAUUGCGAAGGCAGCUUACCAGCAUACAACUGACGCUGAGGCACGAAAGUGCGGGGAUCAAACAGGAUUAGAUACCCUGGUA